GACAGAGGUCCCGAGCGUUAGGCGGAAUCACUGGGCUUAAAGCGUGUGUAGGCGGAUUGGUAAGUACCUUGUGAAAUCCCACGGCUUAACCGUGGAACUGCUUGGUAUACUGCUUAUCUUGGGCCACUUAGGGGCCACCGGAACAAACGGUGGAGCGGUGAAAUGCGUAGAUAUCGUUUGGAACGCCAAUGGUGAAAACAGGUAGCUGGGAGUGUGCCGACGCUGAGACACGAAAGCCAGGGGAGCGAACGGG
rnacentral:rRNA from 1 species